rnacentral:rRNA from 1 species
CGAUGAAGGACGUGCUAAUCUGCGAUAAGCGUCGGUGAGGUGAUAUGAACCGUUAUAACCGGCGAUUUCCGAAUGGGGAAACCCAGUGUGUUUCGACACACUAUCAUUAACUGAAUCCAUAGGUUAAUGAGGCGAACCGGGGGAACUGAAACAUCUAAGUACCCCGAGGAAAAGAAAUCAACCGAGAUUCCCCCAGUAGCGGCGAGCGAACGGGGAGGAGCCCAGAGCCUGAAUCAGUGUGUGUGUUAGUGGAAGCGUCUGGAAAGGCGUGCGAUACAGGGUGACAGCCCCGUACACAAAAAUGCACAUAUUGUGAGCUCGAUGAGUAGGGCGGGACACGUGGUAUCCUGUCUGAAUAUGGGGGGACCAUCCUCCAAGGCUAAAUACUCCUGACUGACCGAUAGUGAACCAGUACCGUGAGGGAAAGGCGAAAAGAACCCCGGCGAGGGGAGUGAAAAAGAACCUGAAACCGUGUACGUACAAGCAGUGGGAGCCUCUUAAUGGGGUGACUGCGUACCUUUUGUAUAAUGGGUCAGCGACUUAUAUUCUGUAGCAAGGUUAACCGAAUAGGGGAGCCGAAGGGAAACCGAGUCUUAACUGGGCGUUAAGUUGCAGGGUAUAGACCCGAAACCCGGUGAUCUAGCCAUGGGCAGGUUGAAGGUUGGGUAACACUAACUGGAGGACCGAACCGACUAAUGUUGAAAAAUUAGCGGAUGACUUGUGGCUGGGGGUGAAAGGCCAAUCAAACCGGGAGAUAGCUGGUUCUCCCCGAAAGCUAUUUAGGUAGCGCCUCGUGAAUUCAUCUCCGGGGGUAGAGCACUGUUUCGGCAAGGGGGUCAUCCCGACUUACCAACCCGAUGCAAACUGCGAAUACCGGAGAAUGUUAUCACGGGAGACACACGGCGGGUGCUAACGUCCGUCGUGAAGAGGGAAACAACCCAGACCGCCAGCUAAGGUCCCAAAGUCAUGGUUAAGUGGGAAACGAUGUGGGAAGGCCCAGACAGCCAGGAUGUUGGCUUAGAAGCAGCCAUCAUUUAAAGAAAGCGUAAUAGCUCACUGGUCGAGUCGGCCUGCGCGGAAGAUGUAACGGGGCUAAACCAUGCACCGAAGCUGCGGCAGCGACACUAUGUGUUGUUGGGUAGGGGAGCGUUCUGUAAGCCUGUGAAGGUGGCCUGUGAGGGUUGCUGGAGGUAUCAGAAGUGCGAAUGCUGACAUAAGUAACGAUAAAGCGGGUGAAAAGCCCGCUCGCCGGAAGACCAAGGGUUCCUGUCCAACGUUAAUCGGGGCAGGGUGAGUCGACCCCUAAGGCGAGGCCGAAAGGCGUAGUCGAUGGGAAACAGGUUAAUAUUCCUGUACUUGGUGUUACUGCGAAGGGGGGACGGAGAAGGCUAUGUUGGCCGGGCGACGGUUGUCCCGGUUUAAGCGUGUAGGCUGGUUUUCCAGGCAAAUCCGGAAAACCAAGGCUGAGGCGU